AUGGUAAAUGGAAUGCAAGAAAUGAAUGGCAGCAUCUGGAGAGAGACAACCGUUCCAAAUGCUUUUGGCUACCAGCUCUCCACAAGUCACCAGGAUGGAGCAAGGGCCGGAAUCCAGACUUCUGUCGGCCUAAUUUUGUAUCUGUGGAAGCACAACACUAAAUCCAAUAUUCAAAUGCCUUGCUGUGGUGGGUGUAGGAGAGAGCACAUUCCAGACUUUUAUGUUGCCUGCUCCUCCUGGGAGGCCAAUCCCCGCCGUGUCUCCGGUGGGAUUGGAUGACCGGAGCUCGGGAAAGGAGCGAUGCUGGGCAAAGGUUUCUGGGUUUGACCACCCAUGGGUGUUUAUGGCUCCUGAUGCUGGGCAGGUGCUGCUUCAAUCCCACAGCAAGCAGAAGGAGAAAUUUCAAUUAUUGACCCAUAAACUGUGAUGAGUUUUUGUCAUCGUCAUCGUCAUCAUCAUCAUUUUAAUUCUCCAAAGUAAGUGUUGAGCUUGUGGCUUCUGGAGGACUUUGGGGAUCCUGGGAGAACCUUUGACCAGGAAGGUUUUCCCCAGCUCCUCCAGAUGUCUUGGAGGCAAACACGAGAAGAGCUUGGCUCGCUGGAGGAAGCAGCAAGUGUUUAAGUUAAUUUGAAAUCCUUUAUCUGUCAGUGUUCUUGACAGCAAUCAAGCACAAUGGAAAAUAAAUAAAUAAAUAGAAAUCCCGUAGCCA
rnacentral:lncRNA from 1 species